AUUUUAAAAUACAAAUUAAAAAACAUAUGGCACAACAAAUUCUUAAGUUUGUUAGUGUCAUAAUUAUUUUUCUUUUCAUAUUCUUCAUUGUAACAGAUGGAGUUAUCAUAUGUCAAUCUAAUCGACAAUGUAGUAAAGCAAUGACUAACUGCUUUCGUCCUAAUCAUCCAAAGUGUGUAUCAGGGAUAUGUCAAUGUUGCUAAUUGUAGGAAUAAAGUUAAAAAAAAAAAUUUCCAAAUAUUUGCAUGUAUAAUGUAUAAUGUUUGUACUUUUAUAAUUUUCUCAUACUUCACUUAUGUUCUCCGAAUUUUCAAAUUAA